CUGAAAGAACGUGGUGGCGUGAAAGCCGCCUCUUCUCUCAACCCUUUGUGAACUUUAUACAAACGUUGCCUCGGCGCCGGCCGGGGGUGCCCCCAGGGCGCCCCCCCGGGGGCUCUUCGUAGCCCCCUGGAGACGGCCCGCCGGUGGCCCCCUAAACUCUUGUUUUUUAGUGUUACUUCUGAGUAUCAAACACAAAUGAAUCA
rnacentral:misc_RNA from 1 species